AAGUCAUAACAAGGUUUCUGUAGGUGAACCUGCAGAAGGAUCAUUAGUGAACAAUAGGGGAACCCACUCGCUGGGCCCCCGACCCUCACCUUAUCCACACACCUGUGAACCGUCGGUCGUGGUCUCCCCUUCGCGGGCAGGCUGAGGCUGGCAACCCCCUUUUUUAAACAAACCCUGAGUACGUGAAUGUAGUUGUAUUAUCUUGCCGCAAGGCAGAAACUAAACACAA
rnacentral:misc_RNA from 1 species